GCAGGUUAUGUAUAUUGUAUACUGGUAUUGUAUAUUUCUAUAAUUAUUAUGACUAUCAUCGCUGGCAUAGCUGUAUUUUAGCUAGUUAACAAUAACAUUGCUAGCUAUUUUUGAUUAACUUUGCUAGUAACAGUAAUGGCAACAUUGCCAUCUCUCUAAAGUAAAUUUGACGACAUAAUAAUAUUGACCUACUUUAGCAAAGUCAUCGUAUUUCCAGGCCUCUCUAAAUUAAUGUAAUUUAGAUGAAACAGUCACAUUAGCCUCCGAGGUGCAACCCAUGUCUAGGGCACAAGUAAAUACUGUGUGCAGCUCUGGUGUGUCCUAGCUAACUCAUCUCUGACUACAACAGUGUACUAACUAGCAGCAACAAACUCAACCCAACCCAGGGCCUACCAGAAGGAGCAAAGCUUGUCAGGCAAUACCUUACAAUAAAAGUGUGUCAUGCGACACAAGUACCCUUGUGACACCACCUCCGUUGUUGCCAGAGUCUCCCUUGACUCCUAUGACAAGGACACGCCAUCAUGAUGCUUCUGAUAGUGACCCGAGUUACUGCCCUGAGGACACAGACAGCUUCAUCAUCAACGACAGUUAAUGCCCUCCCAGUCAACACCACCUCAUAAGAUUGCCUGCAGCAGGUGUUCAAGAGAUGCCCAGUUUGCAGCCGAACAUGCAGCAUAGAGAAGACCAGCAAAUGCAUGAGAUACAGAGAGACCUGGCACUCAACACAUCCAAUCAACACAUCCACAAUGAGAUGGACUGGAGAUGCUUUUGCCAGACGGCAGCCUCAGUCGUUUGAUGGGGAGACCAUAAUUGGGUAGGUUUAUAUGACCUGUUCAAACUUCAUCAUAGUACCUGUUUGUAUGUCAGAUAUUACCUAUCCUAAC